rnacentral:misc_RNA from 1 species
AAGUCGUAACAAGGUUUCCGUAGGUGAACCUGCGGAAGGAUCAUUAAUGAAAAAUGUGUUGCCGGGGCCAUAAUCCCGGCACUAACCUUCUAUCCAUAAACCUGUCACUGUUGGAUGCUUGCAUCCUUUUAUACUAAACAAUUUGUACAAAUGUGUCUUAUUAUAAUUUAAUAAAA